rnacentral:lncRNA from 10 species
AUUGUUAUAGGUGAAAAUUGUUCAAUAUCAGCAAUUUUCUGUGGUUCAAAUGGAAUAGCCCCGGUGAAAAUUCCUAAGAAUUUAAACAUCGCCCUCCUCCCUUAUAAGCAGAGCCAGAAGCGAGGGAGGGACUGGCCCUACUUGGGGCUAUUCCACAAGAAAAGCUGCUGGGAAGACCCAACGAUUCAGUGCAGUUAAACUUGUCUUCUGAUUCUGAGCUCCCAUCAUAAGCAAGGCACUGUCGGGGACCAACCCUGGCCAAAGAAUCUUCCCCCUCCUCCUUCUUUCCCUCCCACCUCUCUUCCCUCCUUCCCUCCCCCUUCCCAGCCUGGCCAUGAAUAAAGCUCAUAACGCUACCUGCCGAGCAAGCCGAGUGGAGGGAGGCAAAGGCCAGGCUGAGGAUCAGGGUGGCCCGGGUGGCAGCGGGGAGGCGCUGCAUGCUGGAGGCUGUGCUGAGUGCCCGGUGCAGGUGAGCCGGUCCUGCGGAGUUGUGCCGAGUGCCUGCUGCAGUCUCAUUUCCAGUUCCU